rnacentral:rRNA from 1 species
GUAGUUAGCCGGUGCUUAUUCUUUAGGUACCGUCAGCGCUUACCACUAUUCGCAAUAAACCUUUCUUCCCUAACAAAAGAGCUUUACAACCCGAAGGCCUUCUUCACUCACGCGGCAUUGCUGGAUCAGGGUUCCCCCCAUUGUCCAAUAUUCCCCACUGCUGCCUCCCGUAGGAGUCUGGACCGUGUCUCAGUUCCAGUGUGGCCGAUCAGCCUCUCAGCUCGGCUACCCAUCGUUGGCUAGGUGGGCCGUUACCCCGCCUACUACCUAAUGGGACGCGAACCCCUCCUUCUGCGGAUUGCUCCUUUGACCUCUGAACCAUGCGGCUCUGUGGUCUUAUGCGGUAUUAGCACUUGUUUCCAGGUGUUAUCCCCCUCAAAACGGGCAGGUUGUUCACGCGUUACUCACCCGUUCGCCACUAACUACAAAUCCGAAAACCUGUAGUCCGUUCGACUUGCAUGUGUUAGGCACGCCGCCAGCGUUCGUCCUGAGCCAGAUCAAACUCUGA